UAUAUCAUGGCAUAAGCAUCAAGUUUCACACAUGUUUUAUAGAACAAAAGCCUGUCAUUGUGCAUAAGCUUGCAAAUCAAAAAGGGGCAAAUGCAUGUCUCUAAGAUCAACAAAGCUUCACCUCAUAGUUUUGCAUAAGUUUGCAAAUCAAAAGGCCACGUACAUGUGUUAAACAUCAACGAUGUCUCACCAACUUAGAGCAAUGGAUGUAGCUAGUUCUUGCCUAAACACAUCCAUGUCUUCACCAUUUUCCGCUAUAGUUGAUGUAUCCGAUGCAUGUGAAGGAACAACAAAUUUCUUGUAUCGUUCCGGAAUUGUCGGCACAUAGUCCGGGUCCCUGUCACAUCGAACAAAGUGAAUAUCUUCUUCAUCAUGGAAGCGAACAUAGUUGUGCAAAGUCAUAGUAGCGGCAACAAUCAUCUUUUGUAUUUCGAUGGAGUAGCUUGGCAUCUUUAGAAGAAUCUGACAUUUCAUCUUCCACACUCCAAAGGCUCUCUCUAUGCAAUUGUGUUUGGACGAGUGGAGCCUAUUGAACUUUUCUUUAGGAGUAUUGGGUGGAACAACUCUAUGAAAGUCAGACACAUGAUAUCGUUCACCUUUGUAUGGUGUGAGAUAUCCCUUUCUAUUAGGAUAGCCAGCAUCCACAAGGUAGUACUUGUCUACGAAAAAUAUGUGAGAAGAAUUAAUGUUAGAAUUGGCAUGCAUGAAAUGAGUUCUAACAUUCUGAGUCAUGGGGGAAGAGGGCCUUGUCCGCAUGCUCACCCUUUGGAUGGGGGAAGGUGGCCUUGUCCGCAUGCAUUGCAUGAAAUAGCACACUUGUGUCAUGCAUAGAACCAGGUUGUCCAAUUGAAGCAUAAGUGAAAUGCAUAUCAAAGUCACAUAUUGCCAUCACAUUCUCAGUGACUGCGCCUGUCCUUCCAAUAUAUCUGAUUUGCUUGUCUUCUGGAAUCGAAGCUCUAAUGUGAGCCCCAUCUAUUGCACCAAUGCAGUCUUUCAUGUGUGGAUAUGCUCGUUUAUCACCAAGGAUCCUUUGAUGCACAGUGUGAAAAUUGGGGUCUUUCGGCUUGAGGUAGUGACAAGACAUCCUGACCACACAAUGCAGUACCUCAUGGAACUUGCGGUGGAUAGUGUCAGGUGAAUGUUUGAAACGGUUUUGGGUCCUUCUAUUUGAUUCACACCCCCCAAGGUCCACAAGAACAUAGCAAGAGACUCGUAGCUGCUAACAAAUGGAGAAUAACCGAGCCCAUAGUCCUUCACCAACAAGUCAUGAAGUUCAAAGAAAACUCUUGUCUUCAUUCUGAACAUUGUAAAGGGGUCAAAUGCACUAGGGGUCAAGAUUUUGUUUGGCCUAUUUCCAGCCUUCACUUGCGUGACCAUCAAGUUGGUAACGAUCCUAGUGUUCUCUUCAUCCCACUCGGCAGUCAUGCUCGAAGACAUGCUCUGAACUUGACUAUAAAAAAUAUGUGAGUGCUUAACUAUAAAAGACAUGUACAAGUGUUGCUGCUGUCAUUAAUUAUGUACUAGCAAAAUUUUAUUGUUGUACUAAACAUACAUAGCAACAAAAUGCAUCACUAUCCAUGAGCAUGUACUGAACAUGCAGCAGCAGAGAAUGUACAAAACAUUUACAUUUUUUUCAGUCCCCUUCCUAUAAUCUACAGGCAACACAUCACCUAGCAGAGAAUGUAAAAUUACCAAAGCACAUCACCAAAUCCUACAACUAUCACCAUGUACAUCACAAAAUCCACCAUGAGCAUGUAUAGGGAGAGGUGGUCGGGCAGCAAAUCACCUUCCACAAAUGAGAAGAGGUGCACGGGGAGGUGGAGGAGCUCGAUUAACGGCAGAGAAGCUCGUCGCUGAUGGACAGUGCUCGAAUCGCGGCGGCGGAUCUGGUCGGCGAUGGUGGCGAAACAGGGUGGACAGGGGCAGGGAAGCUCGUCGCUGAUGGCGGCGGACCUGGUCGGCGACGGUGGCAAAAGAGGGCGAGCAUGGCGGGGAAGGGUGGGUCACGUCAUGGACUAGCAGCGGGGGAGAGCGUGGCCGCCGGCGGUCGAGGUGCUUUGCGCCAUCGCCUGAGGCUUGCGGCGGCUAGGGUUGGGGAGGGGGAAGAGGAGUCAUGGGACAGGAUGGGCUCGAG
rnacentral:lncRNA from 1 species